GGUUAAGCGACUAAGCGUACACGGUGGAUGCCCUGGCAGUCAGAGGCGAUGAAGGACGUGCUAAUCUGCGAUAAGCGUCGGUAAGGUGAUAUGAACCGUUAUAACCGGCGAUUUCCGAAUGGGGAAACCCAGUGUGAUUCGUCACACUAUCAUUAACUGAAUCCAUAGGUUAAUGAGGCGAACCGGGGGAACUGAAACAUCUAAGUACCCCGAGGAAAAGAAAUCAACCGAGAUUCCCCCAGUAGCGGCGAGCGAACGGGGAGCAGCCCAGAGCCUGAAUCAGUGUGUGUGUUAGUGGAAGCGUCUGGAAAGGCGCGCGAUACAGGGUGACAGCCCCGUACACAAAAAUGCACAUACUGUGAGCUCGAUGAGUAGGGCGGGACACGUGGUAUCCUGUCUGAAUAUGGGGGGACCAUCCUCCAAGGCUAAAUACUCCUGACUGACCGAUAGUGAACCAGUACCGUGAGGGAAAGGCGAAAAGAACCCCGGCGAGGGGAGUGAAAAAGAACCUGAAACCGUGUACGUACAAGCAGUGGGAGCCUCUUUUAUGGGGUGACUGCGUACCUUUUGUAUAAUGGGUCAGCGACUUAUAUUCUGUAGCAAGGUUAACCGAAUAGGGGAGCCGAAGGGAAACCGAGUCUUAACCGGGCGUUAAGUUGCAGGGUAUAGACCCGAAACCCGGUGAUCUAGCCAUGGGCAGGUUGAAGGUUGGGUAACACUAACUGGAGGACCGAACCGACUAAUGUUGAAAAAUUAGCGGAUGACUUGUGGCUGGGGGUGAAAGGCCAAUCAAACCGGGAGAUAGCUGGUUCUCCCCGAAAGCUAUUUAGGUAGCGCCUCGUGAAUUCAUCUCCGGGGGUAGAGCACUGUUUCGGCAAGGGGGUCAUCCCGACUUACCAACCCGAUGCAAACUGCGAAUACCGGAGAAUGUUAUCACGGGAGACACACGGCGGGUGCUAACGUCCGUCGUGAAGAGGGAAACAACCCAGACCGCCAGCUAAGGUCCCAAAGUCAUGGUUAAGUGGGAAACGAUGUGGGAAGGCCCAGACAGCCAGGAUGUUGGCUUAGAAGCAGCCAUCAUUUAAAGAAAGCGUAAUAGCUCACUGGUCGAGUCGGCCUGCGCGGAAGAUGUAACGGGGCUAAACCAUGCACCGAAGCUGCGGCAGCGACACUGUGUGUUGUUGGGUAGGGGAGCGUUCUGUAAGCCUGUGAAGGUGUACUGUGAGGUAUGCUGGAGGUAUCAGAAGUGCGAAUGCUGACAUAAGUAACGAUAAAGCGGGUGAAAAGCCCGCUCGCCGGAAGACCAAGGGUUCCUGUCCAACGUUAAUCGGGGCAGGGUGAGUCGACCCCUAAGGCGAGGCCGAAAGGCGUAGUCGAUGGGAAACAGGUUAAUAUUCCUGUACUUGGUGUUACUGCGAAGGGGGGACGGAGAAGGCUAUGUUGGCCGGGCGACGGUUGUCCCGGUUUAAGCGUGUAGGCUGGUUUUCCAGGCAAAUCCGGAAAAUCAAGGCUGAGGCGUGAUGACGAGGCACUACGGUGCUGAAGCAACAAAUGCCCUGCUUCCAGGAAAAGCCUCUAAGCAUCAGGUAACAUCAAAUCGUACCCCAAACCGACACAGGUGGUCAGGUAGAGAAUACCAAGGCGCUUGAGAGAACUCGGGUGAAGGAACUAGGCAAAAUGGUGCCGUAACUUCGGGAGAAGGCACGCUGAUAUGUAGGUGAAGUCCCUCGCGGAUGGAGCUGAAAUCAGUCGAAGAUACCAGCUGGCUGCAACUGUUUAUUAAAAACACAGCACUGUGCAAACACGAAAGUGGACGUAUACGGUGUGACGCCUGCCCGGUGCCGGAAGGUUAAUUGAUGGGGUCAGCGCAAGCGAAGCUCUUGAUCGAAGCCCCGGUAAACGGCGGCCGUAACUAUAACGGUCCUAAGGUAGCGAAAUUCCUUGUCGGGUAAGUUCCGACCUGCACGAAUGGCGUAAUGAUGGCCAGGCUGUCUCCACCCGAGACUCAGUGAAAUUGAACUCGCUGUGAAGAUGCAGUGUACCCGCGGCAAGACGGAAAGACCCCGUGAACCUUUACUAUAGCUUGACACUGAACAUUGAGCCUUGAUGUGUAGGAUAGGUGGGAGGCUUUGAAGUGUGGACGCCAGUCUGCAUGGAGCCGACCUUGAAAUACCACCCUUUAAUGUUUGAUGUUCUAACGUGGACCCGUGAUCCGGGUUGCGGACAGUGUCUGGUGGGUAGUUUGACUGGGGCGGUCUCCUCCUAAAGAGUAACGGAGGAGCACGAAGGUUGGCUAAUCCUGGUCGGACAUCAGGAGGUUAGUGCAAUGGCAUAAGCCAGCUUGACUGCGAGCGUGACGGCGCGAGCAGGUGCGAAAGCAGGUCAUAGUGAUCCGGUGGUUCUGAAUGGAAGGGCCAUCGCUCAACGGAUAAAAGGUACUCCGGGGAUAACAGGCUGAUACCGCCCAAGAGUUCAUAUCGACGGCGGUGUUUGGCACCUCGAUGUCGGCUCAUCACAUCCUGGGGUUGAAGUAGGUCCCAAGGGUAUGGCUGUUCGCCAUUUAAAGUGGUACGCGAGCUGGGUUUAGAACGUCGUGAGACAGUUCGGUCCCUAUCUGCCGUGGGCGCUGGAGAACUGAGGGGGGCUGCUCCUAGUACGAGAGGACCGGAGUGGACGCAUCACUGGUGUUCGGGUUGUCAUGCCAAUGGCACUGCCCGGUAGCUAAAUGCGGAAGAGAUAAGUGCUGAAAGCAUCUAAGCACGAAACUUGCCCCGAGAUGAGUUCUCCCUGACCCUUUAAGGGUCCUGAAGGAACGUUGAAGACGACGACGUUGAUAGGCCGGGUGUGUAAGCGCAGCGAUGCGUUGAGCUAACCGGUACUAAUGAACCGUGAGGCUUAACCUU
rnacentral:rRNA from 2 species